UGGUGCAAUUUGGAGCAAUUUUGGGCCAAAAUGGAUUGCAUGCAUAUGGAGCAAGUAAGAUGGACGUUUUUGGUGUUUUAAAAAGGGUUUCAACACAUGAAAAAAUCUGAAUAAUGAAGUUGAAGUGUGGAAGUGUGCAGAUACAUACACUUAAGGAACAAUUUGAAAGGAAAAGAAGUGAAAGAUGCCAUUUGUUGGAUUGCUUUACAAGAUGUAUUCACAUUUUCAGCAACUACAAACAUAAUUGUAAGCUGAAAUGAUGCAUAGCAUGUGUGUAUAGGUGUAAAGUGGCCGAAAGUUGAUGUUUGCAAGAUGAAAUGAUGCAAAACAUGUGUGUGAAAGUUGUCUAACAGCUAGUACAUGUGGAAAAGGGAUGGAAUACAAGGCAAAUCCAGCAGAAAUUGAAGAAUGAAGGCACAUGGACAGCUACAAAGGAGUUGAAUUAGCAAAAGAGGAAUGAUUGCCUUUUGUUAAAGGCAAGACACAAUGAUAAAAAAGCAUGUAAACUAGCUGUUUUUGCAUCAUUUUGGUCUUUGUUUGUAUUUUUUAUUGAAGCCACUUGAGUGAUUCUUUGCUUUGGAGCUUCUAUAAAUAGGGAGUGAAAGGGAGAUUACACUACAUCAAAAACACAAUCAGCCACACCACCCAUUCUCCAUCCAUUCUUUUAGCUAAACCCAUCUACACAUUCAUACACUACGUCACAAACACAUUUUCAGCCAUCUUUCUUUCUUUUGCCACACCCCCCAUCCAUCCUAAACACCACCAUACCAUCUCCCAUCAAUUCCUCCAUACAAAUACCAUCUAAACCUAUCCCCAAAACCUUGUGUCGCAGCAAAGAGGAAGGAGGAGAAGCCUUGGAUUGCAUGCCAUUCAAGUCCGAGUUGCUGGAAGUUUUAGGUGUUUCCUUUCCUUUGAUUUCAAUGUUUAAAUUCUAUACUCUUUGUUUUGUACGUAUGAGGAACUAAACACCCCCUUGGCUAGGGGGCGUUCGAAACCAUGUUUAUGCUUGCUAUAUGAUUAGAUUACUUUCAAUUGCGUUUCAUAAGUUGUGAAUUCAAUUUACUUAUGUAUAUGAAUUAAAACUGAUUUGUGUGUGUUGGUUGAGAGUGCACGCUUAAUUUUCAUGCAUAAGUUUGAUGCUAGGAUAUAAGGGAAUUUCACCUAAUCGUUAUGAACUUAUAUUCAAAAGUAGUAAAGGUUGUUGAUCACAAUCGUGUUAAGUAAAUUCUUGGCAUAAGUUUCAUGCAAUUCAUAGUAACGAGUGCCUCGCCAAUGCUUAUGAUUUUCAUAGAACUUAAUGAUCUUUGCUUGUAUCUUUGUUAUGCAAUUCAUGCAGGGAACUUGUGAGGAAUGUUUUGGGUUGUCGUAUGCAAUUCAUCCAAUUCGAUAACUUUAGGAAAAUCUGAGGGUUAAUUAGUGCAAUUCACGGUUAAUUUGGGACGUUUGGAAUUCAUGGUUUAUUGAGAAGCAAUUGGAAAUCGUUUUGUAUGCAAGUGUGACAUGUGUGGAGAAGAA
rnacentral:lncRNA from 1 species